GGGGAAUUUUGGACAAUGGGGGAAACCCUGAUCCAGCCAUGCCGCGUGUGUGAAGAAGGCCUUCGGGUUGUAAAGCACUUUCGGACGGAACGAAAUUGCGCGGGCGAAUAUCCCGCGUGGAUGACGGUACCGUAAGAAGAAGCACCGGCUAACUACGUGCCAGCAGCCGCGGUAAUACGUAGGGUGCGAGCGUUAAUCGGAAUUACUGGGCGUAAGGCGUGCGCAGGCGGCGUCGCAAGUCAGGCGUGAAAUCCCCGAGCUUAACUUGGGAAUUGCGCUUGAAACUACGGUGCUCGAGUAUGGCAGAGGGAGGUGGAAUUCCACGUGUAGCGGUGAAAUGCGUAGAUAUGUGGAGGAACACCGAUGGCGAAGGCAGCCUCCUGGGCCAAUACUGACGCUCAUGCACGAAAGCGUGGGGAGCAAAC
rnacentral:rRNA from 1 species